UACGGGGGGGGCAAGCGUUGUUCGGAAUUACUGGGCGUAAAGGGUGCGUAGGUGGUUUGAUAAGUUAUCUGUGAAAUUCCUGGGCUUAACCUGGGGAGGUCAGAUAAGACUGUUAGGCUUGAGUAUAGGAGAGGGUAGUGGAAUUUCCGGUGUAGCGGUGAAAUGCGUAGAUAUCGGGAGGAACAUCAGUGGCGAAGGCGGCUACCUGGCCCAAUACUGACACUCAGGUGCGACAGCGUGGGGAGCAAACAGG
rnacentral:rRNA from 1 species